rnacentral:lncRNA from 10 species
GUGCUCAAUGAGCUACAAUUCAAAUAGAGGAAAUUUAAUGGGAAAUGAUUACAUUAGUAGCAGAUGGACUGGCUUCCUGAAUUUCAGUGUUACUAGAAAUCCUAGAACAGCUUAAAUUUGUUUUUCAAAUUUAGAGUCUGAUAAAAAGACAGAUAAAGAGAUUUGUUUAUUUGAUUGUGCUAGUGUGAUUCUUACUGUCUUUUGGAUAUUUCAUUUGUACUAGGCUAUUUUUAUGAUUCCCACAAAUCCACCACCAACAUUCAGAAAGCCAGAACUUUGGUCCGAUGAUUUCACCGAUUUUGUUAAAAAGUGUUUGGUGAAGAAUCCUGAGCAGAGAGCUACUGCAACACAACUUUUACAGAACAUUGAAAUUGUAAAAGAUUGGAAAGAUCCUAAAUGUCUGUCAACAAGUUGGAAACAAUUUAAAGUACAAGAAAAAGAGUUACUGGAAAAAUACACCUAUGUACACACAACAUAUAUACAUAUCUUAAUGCUUAUAAUGAAGUAUCUCUGGAAAAAUAAGCAAGAAACUGGCCUCCAGAAAAGCAUCCUUUUAUCAAGAAUGCCAAACCUGUAU